rnacentral:rRNA from 1 species
AUUGAACGCUGGCGGCAUGCUUUACACAUGCAAGUCGAACGGCAGCGCGGGCUUCGGCCUGGCGGCGAGUGGCGAACGGGUGAGUAAUACAUCGGAACGUGCCCAGUAGUGGGGGAUAGCUCGGCGAAAGCCGGAUUAAUACCGCAUACGACCUGAGGGUGAAAGCGGGGGAUCUUCGGACCUCGCGCUAUUGGAGCGGCCGAUGGCAGAUUAGCUAGUUGGUGGGGUAAAGGCCUACCAAGGCGACGAUCUGUAGCUGGUCUGAGAGGACGACCAGCCACACUGGGACGGAGACACGGCCCAGACUCCUACGGGAGGCAGCAGUGGGGAAUUUUGGACAAUGGGCGAAAGCCUGAUCCAGCAAUGCCGCGUGUGUGAUGAAGGCCUUCGGGUUGUAAAGCACUUUUGGCGGGAACGAAAAGGACUGUGCCAAUACCACGGUUCGAUGACGGUACCCGCAGAAUAAGCACCGGCUAACUACGUG